rnacentral:rRNA from 1 species
CAGCAGUAGCCGCGGUAAAACAGAGGGUGCGAGCGUUAAUCGGAUUUACUGGGCGUAAAGCGUGCGUAGGCGGCUUCUUAAGUCGGAUGUGAAAUCCCUGAGCUUAACUUAGGAAUUGCAUUCGAUACUGGGAAGCUAGAGUAUGGGAGAGGAUGGUAGAAUUCCAGGUGUAGCGGUGAAAUGCGUAGAGAUCUGGAGGAAUACCGAUGGCGAAGGCAGCCAUCUGGCCUAAUACUGACGCUGAGGUACGAAAGCAUGGGGAGCAAACAGGAUUAGAUACCCCCGUAGUCCCUGUCUCUUAUAC